CUCGCUCUCUCGCUCUCCAAGCGACGGCGGCGACGGUGGAGGUGGUAGCAGCGCCGCCGCGACGCUCGCGACGACGACGUCGCGAUGGUCCCGCGGAGGAGCGCCCCGUCGAUGCCAUCGGCCUGGGCGCGAAAUCGAUGGCCGCAACGCGGCGUCUGAAACACGGCACCCUGCGACCUGUGCCGCACGCCUUACCCCCGGUGCGGAUAUACCGGGUGUCCUAUUUUGCGCCUCCCGGCGCUCUUCGACUUUGCAAUUUUGCGAAAGCUCGGCUGAGAAAUCUCAAAGUUCAUGCGCUUCUUCCUUCCUCGCCGUUUCCUUCUUUGAAGUUUAACAAUGAUUUACAAUAUUUUUCUGGUUAUAUAUGUCCAGAAGAAAUUUUAUACAUUGCAUCCUCAACAAAUUUAGGAAUGCAGAAAUGCAUAGAACAGUUUGAGAAGAAUGUGUCUAAUUUACAUGUAAUUCACAAUCGUAAUUUGCGAUAUAAGACACAAUUUUUUUACAUACAAUAUUUGUCUGUUUAUCUUAAAUAUGUUAAACUUUUAUAUAUCGAUCUCUUUUAGAAAAUAUAAAUCUUCAGUUCAGAAUUAAAAGCGCAACAUUCCAUGCAUAAGAACCGUGAGGAUCAAUCGCUGUAAAAGUAUUAUAUAUAUUGCAAAUAUAAAUCUACGUUUAUGCGCUACGUGCAAAUUUGGCCAUGUUAUAAAGUGUUAUAGAAAUAUUACAGUAGUCGAACUCGGACGAGACACACACAUACACAAAUACGUUAAAGUACUGGAAAAACGUGCGGAAGAGGCGAGGUCCUGCGGAAGAAAUUCCCUUUGAUUUAUCGGUUGCUUUUAGUUUCUUGAAAUAUGCAUUGCCUCGUUCUACAUGCCGAGCAUAUUGCUCAAAAGAAAUGUACAAUCUUCGAUAUUAUACAAAUUGCUUGCCAAAUUGAAAAGCUGCUUAAAAAUUGAUGUAUUACUUUUUCUAAAAUUAUUCAUUAUUUAAUCUAGAUUUUUGGAUCAACUAGUUUGUACAUGUUUGCUCACGGAUACAUUUAACGAUAGCAGUGUGCAGUUUUUUUUCUUUUUUUCUAAAUAAAUAAUGCGCGCAUAUGCGGGUAAUAAGGAGUAAUAUAUGCCGCGCCAAUAUCGAGUUCAGAGUUUGCGGGAAAGUUCUUCUUUUCAUUUUUAUCACAUCGCGUGAAUAUGCAUAUAGGUGCACCGAUAGGAUUUUCUGAAACUAUAGCAACCCCGUGUAAGCGCGCGAGGCAACAGAGCGCCGAGUGGAAAAUGCAAUACAGCUGCAUUUCAACGGUGACGCGAGUCCACGUGCCGCUACGAUGAAUGUAGAACGUCUCUGUUUAUGUCAUUUUUGCAGGUAAUUCGAUAUCUAAAAAUCUGCAAUAUAUUUUCAACAAACCACGCGAUACGCUGAAAUUAAUAAAAGAACAAUUUUACAUCAUGCUAUUUUUACUUAAAGAUCCGCUGCACGAUAUUUUUAUGUGCAUAUUACUUCGUGACACGAAUAAUUCGAUGAUAAAAUUAUUAUCUGCAUCUGAUAAUCACAUCUUAUUCGACAUAUCAAUGUGCUUUGCGGUCCGUCGAAUCGACCUACAAUUACCGACAAUUUUCUUUUAUUGUUUCGCACAUUUUUGGCAAGGCUCUUGUUACGCGUACAAAAAUCGAUGCUUGCUAAGUGCUUUCCAAACUGACAAGGCUGUUCUUUUUAACUGAAAAUUGAAAGACUUUGUGAAACAUUGCCAGCAAGCAUAUAUGCAAUAUUUUUCUUAAACAUUAGACUUCUCAUAUGAAAAACAAUUCACUCAAUUAUAAACUAAAUAAUAGCUUCUUUAAAUGUUCAUGUACAAAUUAAAAAACAAGUUCACUAAUAUUACAUACUGUUUAUAUUUUCAUCGGAACGCCACACGAUGUAAUGCUAAAAUUUUCCAAUUUCAAUUUUAGAUUAAUUAAAAUACUUUGAGUUAAAAAUGAUGAGAUGUCGAAAUUUGUCUAACGUUCAAGAUUGAAGGAAAACAUGUGAGUAUAUCGCACACAAUAAAUAUUGACGAUUGCGGUCGAAAUCGUGGCCGAAUGGAUUUUCCGGCUAAUUUCUGGUUUCCAGAAUUCACAUGGGACCGUGCUGGCCCUGUCCCCUGAGUCAAUAGACUCUCUCUCUCGCUCUCUGCGGCAGAUGUGCGUAUCGAUUUCAGGAUGUAUCGUCGUAUUCGCGCGUUUGUCCCCGUACAAAUGCGAUGUGGCACAUCUUGCUCUUUGAGACAACGGCUCAUCGCACGUACGUACUGUCUUCACGCUGUUUAGUUCCCGCUCCACAUUGCGGCGGCGUCGGCGUCAUCAUCGGCCAGCAGGCACACGCAGUGCGAAGCAGGGGGUUUCGCAGAGACAGCACCUGGAGGGGCCACUGGGUGGCCGGCAUCACCCUCGCCAGGUGGCUGCAACUUGUUGUUGCGGGACCCCGCGACCUAUACGCGGGCCUUCCUUCUCCCUCUUUUAUGCCCCUUCGUUUCCCUCUUGCGCACGGCUCCGCUAUUCAUGAUUGAUGAUGAUCAUGCACUUCGCGCAUGAGGAACUCAGAUAAGAAUUCCCGUUUUCGUGAAGAAGCGGAGGCGCUUUCCGUUUUCCAACCGGCGAAUUCGGACGUUUCGCAGGGGGGCUGUGGAAUGAGCGGCAAAUGUUUUGAGUUGGAUUGCAGCGAAUUAUACGAGUUAUCGAUGUUUUUAUUUUAUCGUUUUCCGUCCCUUUCUUUCGAUUUUAAUUUUAAUAUUCCAUGUCCUUCUGAAUUCGUCGCAAAAGUGAAUAAAAAUAGAUUGUCAUGCUUGAGGACGCAGAGUUCGAAGAAGGACAGCUGCCUUCACGCAUCAUUUACGGAACCCGCUGCCGCUAUUCUGAGAUGACACGUCCUUCGGACACGAUGAAGACCGUUGUUCGCGCUGAAAGGAAUGCGUGAAUCCUCAUGUCGCCCGAUCUUCCAAAAAUAAGGGAUGUUCUCUGUGGAAUACCUUUGGAGUGGCACGCGCGUCAUUUUUUUCCUCAUCUCUUUUACGGCCAUUGACUUCUCGAUUGGUGAUGCAAGAAACGUUGUAGUGCACGACCUUGUCUUCUCUGCCAUUUUUUACGCUCAAGAUGUCCGCAUGUAUUUGUGAUAAGCCGACACAAGCUUUUAAUUUGCGAUAUAAACUACUUGGGCUGAUAAUUAUUGUUCGCAAAGUCAUCCGACAGCACAUACGCUUUAAUCGGGAAAAAGUCAUGUUCUGUCGCGGCUUAUAUGUACCCGCAUUGUCAGAAGUGAUAAUAAAAUUGCAUAAAUUUUCAGCUUUUACGGUAAACGUAUACACGUCGUGCGUGUUACAAUAAACAUUAAUUUUGUAAAAAUAACGAUUUUUCUGUUUAGAAAUCAACAAUUCGUACGUCUCGACGAUUCCGAUAUAUCAAUUAACAAGUUCCCCUUCAAAGUGCACUGUCGGAAAAAUCAAUUUAUUUAUUUUUCAAGAAUCAAUCAAAGUGAUUCGCUCGGAUGCCGACGGGCGCAACAUCUCUGAUGAAACAAAAAUCUGAAAGAAAGGUACGAGAACGCAUGUUACGGAACACACGUGAACGAUUUAAUUUCCGUUGCAGUAGCGAGAUGUGUGUGCCUUCCGACAUCGGUGCCGAACUGGUCCGCGUUUCGACAACCUGGAAAACAGAUCGGGACCACAGGACAAGGGACGGCCGCGGGGUGGAAGGGGGGAGGAGACUAUGCGUCUGGGGUUACUGAUACAGAAGUGGGACACCCGCGACCGAAGGAGUUUAGCCCCCCCGCGCAUCGUGACAACGGCAAAACUCGAAACGACGUCGUCGUCGGACUUGGCUUCCGGCCAUUUCCCGACUAUCGAUCCACGAAGCGUUACGACGAAGCUGCCCCACGUGCAAUUAUAGUCGUAUCGUGUGUUAUAACACGCCGACUUGCUUCGCAUACCAGGAACCGGGAGGCACAUUAUCCUCGUCGCGCAAGGACGAUCCGUGAAAUUUCUAUGUCGCCCGCUCAUCCUCGAUUUUGGUUAUACAAGCGGUAAAGCUGUUCGAUUAGUCUUCUCACACUCGUAGAUAUUGCUUUCGUUUCAAAUAUUCAUUCAAAUCGAUCGUAUUGUUAUUAAGCCAUUAAUAUUUUCUAAAAAAAAAUAACGCUGCAAAUUUCAUUGUAACCGAAAUAAGAGAUAUUCCGCAUUUGUUCGGCCAAAUAUUCUCUCUUCACGAUCUCAACAUAUUCGUAAUAACGGUGAAAAGACGUUUGACGUAAAUUUAUUGUAAAUUAUUGUAAAUCUUCAGAAUGUUGAUAUUAGUGUAUUAUACGUUAUAUUAAUAUAUCGUUGGCUGCGUGGAAAAGAAACGCCGGGCUAUUUUUAGCGCGAGAUAAAUCGGUGUGAACGACUCCAGGUGUAUACACCGAAGAAACCCCUCGCGAUUGCUCGCAAAACCCGUGGUCGACGAACAGUCAAACACGUACACGGCCGGAAUCGACCUUAAUGCGAGCGCAAUUGUGGAUUAAUAAUACCGCUGCAAUAAUGAAAUUGCACGUGAGAUACGUGCAAAUUUGCAUCUCUGUCCAUCGACCCAGAAAUCGACCCGGAAUUCACCCAGCGCAGACAACGCCGAUGUACCUCGCUCUUGCCAUCGGUUUGCCAAACGAAUGCCGUGCCGGUGGCAUCACGAGACCACCACGAAAAAUAAACCAGAUUUCUCGUAAUGCGUUUUCGGUCAGGUGUAAGGAACAGUCCGUGAGAGUCCGCCCUACAUGAGUGCGACACGAACGUACGCUUGCACGUAUGCGUGGAAUCGAUAACUAGGAAUUAGUCUGCCCGGCUGUCUCCCAGAACUAAAUGCGAACAUGCGGCGAGAGAAAAAUUGAGUCGAUCGCCCCUCGGAACUGAUACAUUUACGCGAGUUCCAUUUAUUAUACGCCUUGCAAAUAUCGAGGGAAAUAAUCGACUAUUAUUUACCGCUUCUUUUCUGAAUAAUAAAAAAAAUAAUUGCUAUUCAUAAAGCCCUUCGUGCAAAAAUUCAGAGUAAUGAUUUCGUUUAGCGAGAGCUGAACUUCAUGAACAGUGUUAUUAUUAUUAAUAGAGAGUCACGAGAUGGAGGAUUUCAUUGUUUGUUUGUUUGUAUGUUCAAGGAAAUAAUUCAGGAUUCAACAUGACAAAAUACUGAUGAAUUAUAUCUCUUGAUGGCACUUGGCAAAUCUUUUAAUUCUUAAAAAAAUGGAUGUUUUUUCUACGACAGAAUAUCUUGUUAAACAAUCGUGGCUGAUUAAAAUCGCAGAGAAACAGUGUCAUAUAGUGGCUCAUCGGUCAUCGCAUACCGCACAUAUAUCUCCUUUUCUCUUUCUCACUCGGCCUAACACCAUAUGCGACUAGAGGUGUUACGUCCAUGAUGGACACACGCGUAAGGAACACCAGCCAUCGGGUGAAGGGCGGCAAAGUAAACGUGGCAGAACAAACGAAAAUGUGCCCGCACAAGAGGCCAGCAGCCCCAGGGAAAGAGAGAAAGGGAGACGGAGAGAGCAUCACUAUAGCCGGUACCGAGGAUCAAUACGUCACGAAUACGGUCACUACUAUUCGUGCAUACGAGACUGCACCCAUACCGACCAUCAUAUUCCGAGAACAUUUUUGCAG